rnacentral:lncRNA from 1 species
AUGAGAUGACACCACCACUGUCCUUUGCUCCCUCUUCACGAGCUGCUGGCACAGGUCCCAUUAAGGCAGGCGUCUACUUUUUGUCCUGGACCAUUUUCGGUGGACACAGCUCAUGUGGGAUUCUGGCAAAGUACCAUGGGCAGAAAUACCUUCUCACUCAGGUGGAUGCAGAGUAUGCUGCCCUUGUGCAGGCUGCCUCCAGGGAUCCCAAUAGCCUCUUACACCCCACCACAAAACAGCAUAUCUCAUGUUAUGUGAAACACCUGGCCAAGAUGACGAACACCAGUUCAGAGAAACUCCUGGAGACCCAGCAGCUGUGGCAUCACCUCACAGAAGGUAGUGAAACUUCUGGGAACCAGAGGUAUACCAGAUGUAUGCAGCGGAAGGCCUCACCGAUCCUCGAAUGCCGUUUGCUGAAACACCUUUUUUUAAACAAGAGCUACAGGCUCUGAAAUUUUUUUCAAAACAUUUUCAAAGCUCUAUGAUUAUUUAGAAUAUGAUGGAAAGCGUAUAUUUCUUAAGCAUGUUGUUAUAUUGUUCUUACAUUUGAUUAGUUUAUUACUUUUGGCACAAUCAUAUUUAUAACUGCACUGUGUACAUGGGCAGUAGGAUCAUCUGUGUUUAACUGAAAAUACUGUGUAGCCUUUUUAAGCCUGUUUCUUUUUUAUUCUUCCAUAUAGAUCUUUGUUCAGUAGAUGUUUUUUAAACUGUCACUUGUUUUUAUAGAUUGAUUAUUUCUUUUGGUCAUGUUGAGAUAUUCCCAGUAUGUACAGGAUUUUUUUAUUUUAUUUGUUCAUUUAAUCUGUAACAAUGUAAACGUUCAUAGUCACGGGAAGGAGGAGGCGGGAACCGGCGGACAUUUAAAUAAAACUUUAAUAACAAAAUAAACACAAAAUAGCGUGACAGCCCUUUGUGGACGACUGCCACGCACAAACAAAACCAAAACACAAAAUAACAUCAAGGCCUGGUCCUCUCUCGUCCUUCACUGUCCUUACUCCUCCUUUUAUCCUUCCGGAGCUCCUCCGUGGGACUCGAGACCGGUCAGUGGUGCAGGUGUCGCUCAUCUUUAGUUAUUCCACUGGCCUCGCUCCAUUCCCACGGCUCUCGG